UUACCUAUAAAAUAUUUAUAUGAGAUUUUAAAGAUAAGUUUAUAAAUAAUGAUUUUUAUAACAGUGCAGUCGUUCACAAACACGUAGUAAGUAGUUACACCGUUUUACCUUAUCUUGUGCUCUAGAAACUCGUUUUCAACAAUAUAUGAUAAUGACACUACUUUAUUGAAAUGUGAAAUCGCGAUUUCAAUUUGAAGCAUUUAAAAUAUCUUAUUCAUCACGCUUUAGGUAAUAUGAUUAACGGUUAACUAUCUUAAAAACUUGAAUUUAAAAAAUCCAAGUUUUUCCUAACCUGAAUAUGUGUAUAGCGUAGGAGCAGUAAUAGUUAAUACUGUUUCGUAAUAAUUGCAUUAGAGGAAAUAGGUGUAGUUCAUCACGACAACGCACUACUGUGUCCGCCGAUAGCUCGUUAUCACGCUGUGUGUCACGUUCAUGCCAUGCCUUUAGUAUAUUUGGAAUGUACACAAAUAAAGUCUAAGUUCGAGCGUGAAACAUCGUUACACGUCGAUUAACGUUCCUCAAAUUAAUGCCGAUCUACUCGAUUUCAUAUUCUGUACUUAAUAUCGUAAUGCUACCGGUUCGGAGACGUAACGACCGAUGACUAUUGACUGCGCUGUCUGCGUCAACAUUACGUGCUUUUUAACGAUUGUUACAUAUCGUGUGUGUAAGAAUGUUUUGUAAUCGCGUAAUGUGAGUAGAUGCGCAAAGAAUGAGCGAAUCAUAUUAUUAUUAGUUUAACGUUGAAGGCACCGUUGAAAGAAAUGGAUACAGAUAUCGUUAUGAUGUGGUUAUAGACUGCAGCACAGCGCGUGUGAAGCGGCGACCCGUUCGACCUGUCCCCAAUCACCGACGGCUUCGAUACAUGUAUUUACAUUUUUAAGCCGCCUCACCUUACUUGACCGCUUGCUGCCUCGGCCACGUUAUAACUUAUCUACAGCUAUAAGACGAUGGUCGAACCAGAAAUCGGCGGUAAGACAUACCUAUUUGUCUGUAUACGACUGAUCAGCCAGAUUUACAAGUAAUUAUAAUUAACGCUAAUGUGAGAGGAAGAUUUUCGUAUGAGAUAGAUAGUAAUGUCUCGAUGAUGACAUUAGAUUAAAAGCAUUGCAAUAAAUGCUAGAACUGGAUAAUGCAGGCGCAUAAUUAUAGAGUAAUGCAAGCCUAUACAAAUAAUAGAGAAUUUGUGAAAAUAGUCGUUUAUUUUAUCAAUUUAUGAAUCCAAAUAUCAUUUGAUAUCAAUGAUUUGGGCUAAUCGGAGAUUACUUCACGUAUUGAUAACACAAAUACAUUUUGGUACGAAAAUAUAAUUACAUAGAUAUUAUAUAAUUAUAUUAGUUGAAAGAUAUGAGUUUCUUAUGUGCCCUACAUAAAUGAAGGAAAACUAUGUAAUAAUUCUAAGAUUAUAUGUUUAACGAAUAUUGUAUGUAUAGUGCUUGAAAGUUUUAGCAAUCAAGCUUUUGAAGUAGCUUGAUUGACGGUUGCUUUUAAAUUUUUAUGUAGGUAAUAACGGUGUAACACAGGCGAAGUUCCGAACGGUCUUGUCAGCCUACGCGGUACACAUAACGAGAGUCGCAUAUCUUGUAUGCAAAUGUUCAUUUUAUUACAAUUUAUAAAAUAAAAAUAACUCCCACCGGAGCCCGGUCAUUGACCCGCGCCGCUGUUCAACUGUCGUCUCUCUAGGGACUGCUAUGUCUAGCCCAUAUAUCCUCACAUUAUUACCAACAUAAGCAUUUUCGGUGGAACAACACGCUAUAGAAUCGAUUUUCUUCAAAGUUGUAGGAAUUUUUUUGAUAUACAUGUUUAAUAGAUUUAGAUUUAAUGAAAUAUGAAAUAUGUACUACAAUUGAUCAAAUUAAAUUUAUUGCAAUAAGCAUUUGUGUGUUCUAAUCAGUUCGUGAUAAAUGUUUUAAGUUAUUUUCUUGUCCUAUACCAAUAAUUGUAUUAACGUCUGAAACAGAAUUACGUUUUUAUUUAUAUAUAAUGUAAUAAAUGGACACAAUUUUUCUGUCUCAUCUACACUAAUUUUGGGUUUAAAAUGUCGACAAUAAGAUCGGAGAAAUUUAUAAUAAAUAGCUAUUUAAUUAGUUACAUCGAACAGGCUUUGUAAACCGAUACAGGCCUCAAAUGUGUCAUAGCCUCAUAAAAUAAAUGUAAAGUAUUGAGCGCCUUCAAAAGACAUCAACGACCACGCACUUCGCACACUACAGCCUUAAUAUCAUGCUUUAAAAUAUUAAACAUUUUAUAACUCUCCAUUUUUUAUUGUAUUUCUACAGAAAUAAAACUUAAUUUAAUGAAAUGGGUUAAACUAUGUAUUGAAGCUUAAUAGCACUUAAGACUGAAAAUGACUGAACAUUGUAACAAAAUAAAUUCUAGCAUUGAGAACACCAUUUAUUACUCAGUGAAGUAUGUUGAAUUACUCAGUGUUUGUGUUACUACACGUGUUCAUAUUAUUUAUUUAUGCCAACUUCCGUUGAAACAAAGAAGUGCAAUUUUUGGGUGUUAAAGUGUAAAUUAAGGAGUGGACAGUAAAACUCGUCAUUAUCAAAUUAAAAUCAUGAAUGUAUACGGGAGCCCAGUCAAGUAUUCAUCUAAUUAAAGGCUUAAUAUCGUCUUCCUUUAUUAUUAUAUUAUUACUGUUAGUUAACUGAUUCCAACUAUCAUUAACAGCGUGCUGAUGAUGGGUCUAACCACCAGGGCUUCUCAGUAAGAGAUGUUCUGUAAGCACGCAAUAAUUUUGUUAUUAGCAUUUAGCAUGACAAGUUAGUAAUAGUAAGGGAAGAAGUUAUACUGUUCUUGCAUAAUUCGAUUCAUAUGUGUGCCUAUAAUUGUUGACAGUUACAGAUUUACUCAGAAUGAGCUGACUUAAAAUAAAAGUGUAGCCAAGUUUUGAACUUAACUUUUAAAGUAUGCAUUAAUUUGACAGUUGACAUCAUUGCUCAAUUUGAAAUGUUCGGUGCUAUUGAACAUUAUCAUCCUAAUAAUGCACUUCCUAACUUUUGUACAUGGCAGACGCACAAACCGUGCAGGCCAAGAAAGGAAAAAAAAAAAAAAACAUUAUCAUAUGAAACCUCUCAACAUUGUUUUUAAGAUGUAAGUCGUAUGUUCACGAGUUUUGAGCUUAGCAACACUUUCAUAUUUAUAGAUUUAAUAAUGGCUGUUUCUACGACGGUUAGGGAUGUUUCAAGUUGUAGAGAUGCGUGCACGUCUACGCAAGGUGCGGCGCUGCGCAGACGCCGGCGGUAAAUGUCACGGAGAGGUCGCUGUACUGCGCACCUGCUGUUCCAGGCUUGCUGCCGGCUAGUCACUACCUAUGUGCUACAAGGUUAUUGCAGCCGUGAUGCCAGUCCUGGCCAUCUACUAGGAUCCAACUUGAAAACCUUGCUUCAUGAAACUUUUUUCAUAUUAUUAAUAAUGUUUAAGAAAAUGACAAUAAAAGUCUUCAUUCUAA